CUCCCGCUCCCCGGUAGUCUGGAGUUUCGGUUUCUUGCAAAAGGAGCGUUGUGAAUGAAAUUGAGAAUUUUCCGGGAAUCGGUAACAGCCGCAGGAGGCCAGCAGGGGGCGGCAGAGCUGAGCCACGGAGCAGCGUCACAAGCCCCAGAGCAAACAGCUGCGAGGAAGGAGAGAAUCGGUGGAGUGCAAGCUUCCUCCAUCCAGCUUUGAUGUUCCGUGUCUUUCCUGGAAGACCUCCUCUGUGGGGAGGAGGGAGGUCAGUCCUGAUGGCUCGUUCAGUCCCUAGCUUCUCUGCAGAGAUUGCUGCCAACAGUUGGUCCAGAGGUGAAAUAAGCAAGUAAAAAUAAGGGGUAUUUUGUAAUCCAACACAUAAUACUUUCAAGUGCACAUAAUAUUCUUACCAAAAUGCAGGUG